UACGAAGGGGGCUAGCGUUGCUCGGAAUGACUGGGCGUAAAGGGCGCGUAGGCGGCUUACAUAGUUAGGCGUGAAAUUCCUGGGCUCAACCUGGGGACUGCGUCUAAUACAUGUAGGCUUGAGUGUGAAAGAGGGUCGUGGAAUUUCCAGUGUAGAGGUGAAAUUCGUAGAUAUUGGAAAGAACACCGGUGGCGAAGGCGGCGACCUGGUCCUUGACUGACGCUGAGGCGCGAAAGCGUGGGGAGCAAACAGG
rnacentral:rRNA from 1 species